UAUUGUGAUUAGAUAAGGUAGCAAAAUAUUACUAAUUUUAUUAUGUCAUUGAUGCCUUUAGCAGUGACGACAUUGCAUAAGACUUCAUGUCAUAAAUUAGAUCAAAUCAAUAGGCAAACAAAGUAUUCAGUCCUAUUUUAUGUAAGAUUGUUUUCCUUUCCCACUCUCGCACUUCACCAUGAAUGUUCAAACAGUUUCAAAAUUUUGACCAAGGUGUUGUGUGUUCUCUUUCACCUGAAGGCAAGAUUAGAAAUUGGAUGCCAUUCUGCCACAGAUUCUCAUUAUAAAAUCAUUAACUUUGAGCAUGAUAUGCUUUUCUUUUUUGCACUAUCUCCUGAGAAAUAAUUAAGAUGAAGUCCCGCCAUGGGAGACUUAUAACCUUGAGGGAUUCUGCUUAUUAUUAAGGCACACAAUUGAAGGCUCAUCGAGAUUUAUCAAGUUUGCUUGUGAGGUACAUCAAUUAUUAGGAAAUAAUAGCUAUGAGUGCUACAAACGGUCUAACGAGCCUCUUCUCUCAAAAAAAACAUGUGCGGGCAAGUCGAUCAAAGUCAGAGCGACUUUUCAUUUCCUGUUCGAAAAUCAUCAUUAAAUUCGUUAAAAACAACCGGCUUCUCAUUCCACUUAUUUUCAGAUGCCCGUCUCUUCGACAACUUUCAUGUGCAACAAAUGGAGGCUAAAAAACAAAUCGAUGCGAAAAAUCUUGGUUUCCAUCUCCAAGCACCACGAAUUUAGGGUCAACUACACCUUUAAUUUCUAAUGGACGCCAAUUUGUGUUUGUUUUCUUUCUCAAUGCCCCAUUACAGGUUUGUCUUCCUUUUCGCUUAAUUUUCAUAGAAAUCCUAAAUAUGUUAUUUCUUUCUUUCUCCUGUUUUGGACUUAGCUUCUGGGUUCGUACCAAAGUUUUCCAUUUUGAUUCCAAUUUGUGAGUGUCUUCUAUGAUUUUUGAUUUCUGGUGAGUUUUGUUCCGAUUUUACCUUUUUGAAUUUGGUUGAGUAUCUAUUUAUGUGAGUUUUCUCUUACUCCAUAUAUAAUCCUUAUGUAAAUUCCUCUGCAUGAGACAUGUUAUGCUGGCUUUCCUUUUCUAGCUUCUGCAUUGGUUUGUUUAUUUGGUAUAGAGACUGAAAAUGAGGUUGUGUUUGCAUUAUGCUUAGAAAUGCACCCAAGCUGUUUGUGAAUAUGCUUAAAACAAUUGAAUUUUAGUUUACUGUGUUUUUCUUAACAAAAAAAAGAAGACGACUUAAUAGUUGCGUUUCUUUUACAAGUUAUAUAAAGUUAAAUAAUUUAGUUCAAUGUAUUAAUGUGAAAUAAAAUAAGUUCCUUUUAUUCAAUCCAAUAGAAAGAGGAACUCACAAGGGAUGGCCAGUGUAACACUGAUAGUUUCCUUCUUUCUUAAUUGCAUGAUUAUAGUUCUUCUUUUAAUCAUAAGACCUUGAUGUUCCAGAGAUUCAUGCAAACUAUAGAGUAAAGAUAUCUAGCUAAUCCAUUUAAGUUUUUUGGGGAAAAAAUGAGUGGAAAAAAAAUGAAUAAGAAAAGAAGCUCUAUAUAAUAAAAUAGAAAUUGCGGACUGAACUUUAGUGCACAGGAGGAGGAUUCAUCAAUAGUUAAACUACCCUGCAGCUUGCUUAAAUGUAAAACAAAAGCAAAUAGGACAAACCUAAAAAAUAUAUUGGUUUUGAUGAAAGUAGUUUGAUAGGUUAUCUCAAAUGACUUCUAGAUUUUUGAUUGUAGAGUUAAGAUCUUAUUACUUGUAAGGGACCCCUUUUCAAAACAUAUCUACAAUAUAUAUAGUAGAUAGAUUUUGAAGACUAAAUUUACAUCUCGUAGACCAGUUGGUAACUACGCUUCAAUCCUCCAACUGAACAAGCUAUUGCACAAUAUAUAUCUUCUAAUUUAGUUUAGACAAUCAUGUAGACUUGUAAUGUGAGAAUCCCUCUUGACCGAUGAAGAGUUUAGCAACCUUUCACAUAUAUUUUUCCAUUUUCUAAUUAUUUCUAUAUAUGGUAUUUUAAGCAUUUCACAUGUAUUUGGCAAUUUUGAGUAUUUCAUUAUACAGCUCUACUUUGAUUUUUUGGUAUGAUAUUUUUUAAAAAAGGAGACAUUUGUAGAUUUUGUUAUGCUUUCCCUCAAUUUACUAUUCUAGGUGACUUUGAGUUGUAUGGGCAAGUUGUCCUAGUGUUUUGACAUUCUAAUUUUUGUUGUCCGUUAAAUGAUUCGUGACUCACUAGCCAUUAAUUUGUUUUGACAUUUUUGUUGCUGAUCAUGGUUCAGAUGUUAAUUUGGAUUCACGUGCAGAUUCAGAUGAUUUUUGUUUUGUGUGAAAAUUAAAAGCUAUCGAUGAUGAAAGGGAUGAGAAAAACAUGAAGCAGAAUGGCGGCCUAAUACUAAAGAAGAGGCCAAUGAGUUUAAUUUGUCAAAAGCCGUGGUUUUCUUAAUGUUGGUUCAAGUUCUUGGCCAACACUCAUACAAGAAAAGAAUUAUAAAUGCUAAAUAUGUAUUUGUAUUUUUAGGAACUUGAAGGAGGAGGACAUAACUCCGAAUCUCUCUAAUCUCCAAAGAAAUAUAAGAGAGUGAGUUCAAUGCAUAUUGAAAAUAAUCCCAAAAGGGAUAUUUUUGCCUAGCCAAAAUAUGUCAGUCAAGACAAUAGGCAGUAACUAUUCAAAGAAGCAGCGUCUACGGCAGCUUGCCACUGCUACUCUUUUAACAGAAAAUGAAGCUAGCUGUCAAAUAGGGAAAUUGGAGGUAACUCUUCCUUUAAUUUUUUUCGCUCACGAUACUUUGGCAGGUUUUGAGUUUUCUUUUCUGUGGCUAAUGACUUUUUCAGAUAUUUUAUUAGUAUCCUAGAGUACGAGCAUAUGGAAUGCAUUUGCUAAAAGUUUUAAGACACUUAUCUAUCUAUAUUAUUAUAAAAGUGGGAAGCCCUUAAUUGAAAAGUUAAAUUACUUUAUUACCCUUCUUUUUUUAAUAACUCAAUUACGUAAUUAUUGAACGAAAAAGAAACUUAAUUACGUACCCUAAUCUACACUUAGAUACGAACCGACGUGCUCAUUCGGAGAAUACGUUACUAUCUAUGACAGGAUACGCUCCUUCCUAAUAGUAUCAUGACAUAAACCGCUCUACUAGGUUUAGAAGGUCGCAUCUGUUGUUUGCUUUCUUCAACCGAUACACUGUACUAUUGCCGCCUUACAGGAGAAAGGGGAAUAAGGGUGCAGCAUAACAAAGACAGCGAUAAUUUUCCAUCGCCAUUUUAAUCUAGCCAUAGCAGUUAUCUCUCCGUGACUACUUAGGCUGUCAGUGCAAAGAGAAAAGAGUUCGAUCUCCUCAGUUAACUUCCAGGUUCUUGAAUUCACUCUUGUUUACAUAGCAGAAAACGUUCAUAUCUAGAGAAACUUCUCAUGAUUCUCAACUAUUUUCUGAUAUGGAUACCUUAUAAAUGGGUUUCUAAAUCUACUUUUACAAUUUGUUAUUGAAUUUAGAUAGGUUCUGUAAAAUGAUUGUAAUUGUUAUUAUAGCUUACAAUUUGGAGAUGACUACAGGAGUAAUAUUUAUUGGUUACUCUAACAUGUAUUGCUUGAAUACGUAAUAUAUUUAAGCAAGCCUGGAUUAGUGUUCAUCCUCCUAUAUAUAAUUUUUAGAGACUGACUGUAGUCAUGACUUAUCUUUUUAUUGAUUCAAUGUUGCAUAAUGUAUGGACAUAUGUCCUAGAGGAGGUUGACAUAAUUCCUUCUCAAUGUUAAAUAUCAGAACUCACGACUCUUAGGUUUGCUUAGUCAUUCAGAAGUUGUGGCAAUAGAAUUGAUCACUGCUCUUUUCGCCUUACUCAUGUUUAUCAUGUGCUUAGGUUCUAUUUUCAUCAUUAUUCUUAUAAGCCACUUGUGGUUCAAUAGACAUGAAUAAUGCUCUGUCCUUGGCAGUGAUUUGAUUAAUAUUCACUUUGGAUUGUUAUUCGUUCUUGCUAUAAAAACCAUAACCCAAGGGUCUCAACACUAAUCGGAAAGAUUUGAUUGAUUCACAAUAGUCUUGAAUCACAAUAGUUGUUGAACGUUCAUACUAUAAUAGGAAAUUUAUGCUUUACUAUAUUUUUCUCUCAAUAGCCUUUGAAAUGUCAAAAGAUAUAUAGUCAAUUGUUUAAAGACUUUAAUGGAAGAGGACUUUCAUCAUCAGUUAAAGUUUAAAGUGGAAUUAGAUCAUUAGAAAUAGUAAUCAAGGCGACUCCAGCGCCAAGCGAGUGAAAUCGUCGCUUUAGGCCACUGAGAAGUUUAGGCCAAAAAAAUUAGAGUUCAUGACUUACAUACUAUUUUGUUCCAUUUUGUUUGACAUUAAUUUUUUUAUUUAUUUUGAAAAGAAUGAUAUAUUUAUGUAUUUUUAAUUUAAUUUUUUAUAGCUACACAAUAUUUUUUAUACUACAAGUUUCAAAAGUUUACCGUCACAAGGAUGUAAUGACAUAUAUAAUAUCACAAGUUUCAAAAAUUUUCAUUCUUUGUUAAACUUUGUGUGAAGUCAAACUAUGAUAAACAAAGUAAAGCAAAAAGAGUAAUUAUUUAGUUGUUAUUAUAAAAGAAAGUUAUUAUUAGUAAUUGUAAAUUAAAGUGAAUGCCUUUGAGGCAUUAGCAAAAAUGAUUUCUCUCGAUGUCACUCUUCAAAUUUUUCUUGAGAUUUUUACUUUAGAAUUUUCAAUUUUUAGGAUUGUUCUGCAUAGGCAUAUAUUAUUUUUUGUUCUUUAUAAGAAUUUAAAUAUUCAACUGAAAAUAUAAAUAUGGUUAUCCAAAACUCAAAAAAAUUAGAAAAAUCAAUUAAUUGCGUCGCAUCUUAAACUAGAGAAUAAGUUUCAAAAUAAUGUAAAGCCUCUUAUAAAAGUUUGGCUUUAGGCCUCAAAAUGUAUUGAGUCGCCCCUGUAAUAUUAGUAAUUUUAGAUUCUGUUGUUUUGGUUUUGUCGGUUCUAGAAGUUAUUUUAAAGUUGUGAUAUGGUAAUUAAGUGUAAAUGGUUUUGCCGGUGGAUCUUUUUCAAUGGACAAAACCAGGUAUUUUUGGUCAUAGUACAUACUGUCUUUCAAGGUUAAAAAAAAUUUGAUUUUUGAUGAGAUAAUUCUUGCAGUUUCUUAAGAUUUUAAUGACGUAGUUUCUGAUGCACAUGUUCGAUCGAAGUACCAUCUUGGUUUAAUGUUUAACAACAAUUACAUGCCAUUUGAUGUGACUAAAUAAUGUUCAUUAUAUGCAUGGAAGGCUGCAGCCGUAUCUCGCCAAAUUAUAUGCCACAACUGUUUGACCUCAAGUAGAAGAUGAGAUCUAUACUAAUUAGACGAGCUUAUUGAGGUACUUAAACUUUUACUCCCAAUGGAAGAAUAGGAGAGAGCAAAAUCAAAUUCUUAAUAAUUAUGUUAAUUGCUUAUUCUAAAUGAUACAUCACAAGUUUGAGCUCAGAAGAAAAGAGUAAUAUCCCUAACUGUUAACUUGAUAGAUAGAUUGGGCUGGUUGCCACGCUACUAGCAUGCAAAUAUGAUGCAAUUUCUCUUCCAAUAGUGGAUGAUAUGGUGUUCAUUUUGGAUAAAGCAUACACAAGGAAGAAGAUUCUUUGAAAUGUUAGCUAACAAUUUUCUAUCGAUGUCAACUAACACUAUAUUUUCGUCUACCUUCAAACUAUUAGUAAAGAUCACAUUCCUGUAGGAAAUAAUGAUAUUCAACACUCUUCAGUUUAAUAUAUCAGUUCCAACUGCAUAUAUUUUUGUAAGAAGAAUUCUCAAGGUUGCUCAAGCGGAUAAAAGGUUAGUGUAACUCUUGGAUUUUGAGAUUCUUGGCCUUUUUGCAGUAUAGAACGUGUUGCUUUCUUUGACUUUGUACUCCUUUAACAGCUUGUGCUACUUUCGUUCUUCUUGAUUGCGCUUUGCCUGAUGGAAUGUGACAUGCUUAAAUUGCCACCAUACUUUAUCGCUACUGCUGUAAUCUUAUGCACACUUUGUGGUGUUAGACAAUGGAAUAAAACUUGCAAGUUGCACGCAAUCUCAAAGAUCAACUUUUGGAAUGUUCAAGAUUAGUAGCGAACUUCCACCAAAAGACAACAAACAAAAAAACUAACAGGGAUUUGGAAGGUGAAGAGGUUGAAGUGAAGUGAUAAUGUUGAAGCAAUUCUAACUACUUCUGGUGUCGAUGCCAUACGUGACCAAAUUAGAAACAGAGACAUAGACAUCUCACUCACUGCUCACUUACUAUACCUGAUAAGACAAAGAAGACUCGGAAGGGUCGAAAGGAAACAAAAAUCAAUGUUGUGGAAGAAAAGCUGGACGCUUUGAAGAAGAGUUCAUGGUGUAUUAGUUCUACAUGUAUAGAUGUACAUGUAGAACUCCCCAACAAAUUAGCAAUAUCGAUAACUAGGUGUUUUGAAUUCUUCGUUAUUUACAUAUUCAUAUUUGAACUAUCAUAACAAAUGUAAUGCAUCAUGGUUUGUGUGGU